rnacentral:rRNA from 1 species
GACGAACGCUGGCGGCGUGCUUAACACAUGCAAGUCGAACGGAAAGGCCCUGCUUUUGUGGGGUGCUCGAGUGGCGAACGGGUGAGUAACACGUGAGUAACCUGCCCUUGACUUUGGGAUAACUUCAGGAAACUGGGGCUAAUACCGGAUAGGAGCUCCUGCUGCAUGGUGGGGGUUGGAAAGUUUCGGCGGUUGGGGAUGGACUCGCGGCUUAUCAGCUUGUUGGUGGGGUAGUGGCUUACCAAGGCUUUGACGGGUAGCCGGCCUGAGAGGGUGACCGGCCACAUUGGGACUGGGAUACGGCCCAGACUCCUACGGGAGGCAGCAGUGGGGAAUAUUGCACAAUGGGCGGAAGCCUGAUGCAGCAACGCCGCGUGCGGGAUGACGGCCUUCGGGUUGUAAACCGCUUUCGCCUGUGACGAAGCGUUAGUGACGGUAAUGGGUAAAGAAGCACCGGCUAACUACGUG